ACUGUGGAAGCUUUUUUGUCAGAUACGGUUAUCUUUGGGGUUAAUUAUUAUAGCAGUUGAGUUUUAACACUUGAUUUGCUUUUAAAUCUGAAGCAUUAUAUUACUAAAACAUUUUUUGAUUUGUGAAUAUGUUGUUUAAUGGAUUAUAUCUCAUUUUGCAGUAGUAGUUGCAGUGCCUGAAAGAUUGCCAAAAAAAAUAGUGCUAGCUUUUGCUGAAAAAUGUAACAAUCAACUUACCAAUACUGCCUUCUCUUCCGAUAGCUAUGUUCUCCGUAAUAUUUUAAGAACUCAGUUUUUCAUAAGACUUGUGUUGUUUUUGAUUUUUUCCCAAGUCUGGUUGAUCCUUGUGUUGUUCUUUUUUAAAUGUGUAUUGUCUGUUCAGCUAUUCUGCAGGAGUUGCAUUCUUAAAAACCUUAACCAUAUCAAAAAUUGUGUUUAAAGGAGGAUUAUUGAGAUUGGCAAGCUUUUACUAGGAGGAGUUUAAAUGCUGACGUAUUUAGGAAACUCUAAAUACUGAGCAACUUUAUUCUAACUACAAAAUAGAUAGCCUUUCUUUUGUUUUUCACUUUCACUAUCAUUAGCACUGUGUUAAUAUCUUUUCUUCAUCUAUAACACAAUUAUAACGAUAUAUAAAGCCACUCAAAUAAAGCAGAUAUAUUGUGCUUAAAAAAAAAAAGAAAAAAAAAGAAGUCAUUAUGUGGCACACAAUGAGGUGUGACUUGAAUCUAGAAUCUCCAGUGAAAACCAAUGAAACAGGGUCAAACCCUGUGUCUACUAAAAAUAAAAAAAUGAGCCAGGCGUGGUGGCGCUGAGACAGGAGAAUCACUGGAACUCAGGAGGCAGAGGUUGCAGUGAGCUGAGAUCAUGCCACUGCACUCCAGCUGGGGUGGGGGACAGAGCAAGACUCAAUCUCAGAAACAAACACACGAAGCCAAUAAAGUUGUUUCACUCAACGUGUCAGGCUCAGGUCUCUUGACAGGAUACAUCCGGCAUCCGGGGAAACGUCGAGGGGUGGGGUGGAAUCUAUUUUGUGGCCUCAAGGGAGGUUUUGAGAGAUAGUCUUGCAAACGUGAUGGCCUAAGGAAGCCCCUCUGCCCAAGAAGCCAUAUUCAUUUGUAUCCUGUAGCCACCCACGAGGGAGAAUCCGGCUCUCUACAGACACCCCAACCCCCACCCCACCCCACCCCCUGCCUCGUGAAAUGAGCUCUCGCUCCAUCAGGCUCUAUUCACACCGUCUGGUUUUGUAACCUCCAGCGUGUGUGCAUGGGUUGCGGGGUGGGGUGGGGGCGGCUGUGGACAGAGAAGGGGAUAAAGCGGCGGUGUCCCAUGGGUGCCCGGGACGUGGGACAUGAGUAGAGUGGCCAGAGCCUAGUUAACUCAUCGCCUGUCAGGACGUCUCCCCUCCUGGUCCCCUCUCUGACCUACGCUCCACAUCUUAGCAGUUCAGUGGGGACCUUGUGGGUGGAAGUUGCCAACCCUUUGUACUUUAGCCGACGAAGACUGGGCUCCCAAGAGUCUCCCCGGAGUCGGGGCCUUGGGCAGGUUCACAAGGAUCCUGAUGGCGACGGUUGGUGAUGGUGAUGUAAGUUGGAAGCCUCGGACCAAAUCAGAGGUAUCCAUUUGACCUCGGUGGGACAGGUCAGCUUUGCGGAGUUCCGUGCGUCCUUCCAGAGAUUCAUCCAGCGCUAGCAAGCAUGGUCCCGAGGAUCCCAGCUCCCAGCAGAGGCAAUUUUGUUCACACAGAAUCCUGGGCAGGAAAGUUCUCAGCAGAUUUAGGCCUCCUAGCCAAAAAGUCAAAGCCACUUCUGGGAUUUUUUUUCAAAGAGCCAAUGGUUCCACAAUGGGCCAUGGGUAGUUGUGGAAAUGGAGAGACGUGUUUGCAGAUACAUAUUUGAGACAGAACGGACAGGGCUCGGUCACAGUUCAUGUAGGACACGAGCAGAUGCACAUUGAGAAAACCUUCCCAGCAUCCUAGGUGAACAGAGGUAUGAUUUUUUGAGACAGUCGAGGGAGACGCAACCCCAGAUUUUAGGGUUGGAUCUUUAUUAAUAUGUAGUAUCUAUGAGGAAUCCAAGUCCAGAAAUCAACUCGCCAGUUCUGUACAGCAUUCUGUAGGGAGAUCAAAUCUGGGAUGUCUAAAGUUAAGAAUUCAGGCCGUGGUAAUGGAUUAGAUUAGACGUACUUGAACUUAUUUUGCAAAGAAAGAGAGGGUGGGAGAUAGCGAGAGCCAGAGAGAAGGCGAGAGAGAGAGAGAGAGAGAGAGAGAGAGAGACAAAGACAGAGACAGAGAGAGACAGACAGAGAGACACAAAGAUACACAAAGAGAGAAAGACAGAAAGAGAGAGAGAGACAGACAGAUAAAGACACAGACAGAGAAAGACAGAGAUGGACAGAGACAGAGAGAAACAGAAAGAGAGACAGACAGAGACAGACAGGCAGACAGUCAGAGAAAGAGAGUAAGACAGAAGGCAGACACACACACACACACAGAGAGACAGAUGGACAGACAGAGAGAAAGAGAGAGACAGAGAGAGAGACAGACAGAGAGAAAGAGACAGAGAGAGAAAGAGACAGAGAUAGACAGACAGAAACAGAGACAGAGAGAGAGAGAGAAACAGACAAGGAGAGAGAGAGACAGACAGACAGACAGACAGACGGGUAGAGAAAGAGAGUAAGACAGAAAUAGGCACAGACAGAGAGAGACAGCGAGAGAGACAGACAGAGAGACUCAGAAAAAGAAAUAGAGAGACAGAGAAAAACAGAGAGAGACAGAGAGAAACAGAGACAGAGAGAGACAGAGAGAAACAGACAGAAAGAGAGAGACAGAGAGAGAGAAACAGAGAGGGAGGGAGAGAGAGAGAGACAGGCAGAGAAAGAGAGUUAGACAGAAGACAGACACCGUGAGACAGGCAGAGAGAGAGAGAAAGAAAGAGACAGACAGACAGGCAGACAGAGAAAGAGACAGAUAAAGACAGAGAUGGACAGACAGAGACAGAGAGAAACAGACAGAAAGAGAGAAAGUCCUAGCCCAGUAGCGAUACAGUGCCUUCUCUUUCAUUUUAUCUUUCUUUUCUGGUCUUUUCUUUUCUUUUCUUUUCUUUUCUUUUCUUUUCUUUUCUUUUCUUUUUUUUCUUUUUUUUCUUUUUCUUUUCUUUUCUUUUUUCCUUUCUUCUUUUCUUUUCUCUUUCUUUCUUUC
rnacentral:lncRNA from 10 species